rnacentral:lncRNA from 1 species
AUGAUCUCAAUUAUAUCAGAGAGUCCAGAAGGAGUUCAUCCUCAUCUUCCUCUGGCUCCAAAUCCACUUCUUCUUCCAAAUCUUCAUCUGAGAGCUCUAGCACUAGCUCCUCCAGGUCAUCCUCUUCAGCAAAGGGUGCUUUCCCUGCCCCGGUGGGGCACAGCUGCUGUGUGUUUGCUGUUAUUUCAGGAGGAGCAGAAGCGGACCUGGAGUCCUCUGCCUGGGCCACAGAGUCUGCACAGCAUCCCAGAGGCAUGUCAGAGAGCUCCUGAAGGAGUUCAUCAACAUCCUCCUCUGGCUCCAAAUCCACUUCUCCUUCCAGGUCUCCACCGGAGAGCUCCAGCAUUAGCUCCUCCAGGUCAUCCUCUCCAGAAAAGGGUGCUUUCCCUGCCCUGGUGGAGCACAGCUGCUCUGUCUUUGCAGUUAUUUCAGGAGGAGCUGAAGUGGAGCUGGACUCCUCUGCCUGGGCCACAGACUCUGCCCAGCAUCCCAGAGGUGUGUCAGAGAGCUCCUGAAGAAGUUCAUCCUCAUCUUCCUCUGGCUCCAAAUCCACUUCUCCUUCCAGAUCAUCAUCUGAGAGCUCCAGCACCAGCUCCUCCAGGUCAUCUUCUCCAGCAAAGGAUGCUUUCCCUGCUCCGGUGGGGCACAGCUGCUGUGUCUUUGCUGUUAUUUCAGGAGGGGGGGAAGCGGAGCUGGAUUCCUCUGCCUGGGCCACAGACUCUGCCCUGCAUCCCAGAGGCGCGUCAGAGAGCUCCUGAAGGAGUUCAUCCACAUCCUCCUCUGGCUCCAAAUCCACUUCUUUCAGAUCUCCACUGGAGAGCUCCAGCAUUAGCUCCUCCAGGUCGUCUUCUCCAGCAAAGGAUGCUUUCCCUGCCCCGGUGGGGCACAGCUGCUGUGUCUUUGCUGUUAUUUCAGGAGGAGGGGAAGCGGAGCUGGAGUCCUCUGCCUGGGUCACAGACUCUGCCCAGCAUCCCAGAGGCAAGUCGGGACUUGGGAGAACAAGGAAGAGAGAAAUCAGUACAUGACACUUCUUGA